UAGUACUAGGAGGAUGAGUUAAAAGGGGAAGAGAAAGAGGAAUUGAUGCAAGAGGAGGUGGAGAAAGAAGAGAAAAGAGAAGACUUUCUGGCUAUCAGCUUGAGCUGGCUUCAUCAUUAAACACCCUGAGACUGAGAGAUAGAGAAGGGAACUUACUCCUUAAAAGAAAAAAAAAACACUUUAUUUUCCUCAAUAGAACUUGGGGCUGGAGGCCAGAGUCAACCAGCUGGGAUUCUGGUGCGUCAUGCUUUCAGAAUGUUUUUGACUGCCGGUUGUACACUAGACAUAGAGAGACGGGAAAGAAAACAACCCAAAGAUAAACUCACCGCUGGGAGGAGGGGGGGAGGAGAUGAGAAGAGGGGCGGGGCGACAUUUUAUCCUGAGUACGCUAGGACAGGUCGGGCUUUGGUCAAUGCUGGGGCUGGCUAACUAGCCUUGGGGUACCAAGCUGCUGAGACACUGAAGAGCGGCUUAGCUUUUCCCAGUGUUAGAAUAUUUCAGCUGCCAACCACAAACUCCAUCCUGCAAACCCAGGAGGCUGCAGAAGUUUACUCUAUCAAAUUUGGCAACUUCCAGGCAGACGAGAUCCCCAGGUCCCCGGGGCCCAGAGACAAAAAGACAACCUCCAGAGCCAGAGAGCCUCAUUCUAUACAACGUUUUACACCCAAAGUCGCCCGGCUCGCUGAAAUCAUGGGAUAUCCGGCUUAAAAUGGUCCCCAGAAAUCACCAAGUUCAGUCUCUUUACUUUUGGGAUGAAAAAACAUAAACGUGGUGUGGUCAGCUGGUUUCUGAACACUCCGCAGCUUGUCCUUACCAGGAGGGAUUCGUCAGUUCGUUCUUUCGCUCGCUGGUUCAGUCCGUCAGUCGGGCAAGCAGGCACCAAGAGCAGCGGUAACAGAGGCGCCCACAGUUCCUCAGAACUGACUCAGCGAGGGCAGAGAAAUUCAAGAAGUUUAGGAGCCAUAACCACAGGAUACCCACAUUUGCCUGCCACAUGUUGACUUCUGAAGAUGGUAUGCCUUAGAGCCAUAACGACGGCACAAAGUGUGCAUCUUAUUCCAGUGCUUACUAAAUGAAGACAUCUGCUUCAUCGUCUUCCUCUUGCUGCUGGGAGCAAAAAGAAGGCUAUUGUGGUUUCUGAAAAUUUGAUAGUCAAAGGAAUGAUUGCCUUUCAAUUAGAAGCUAGUCAAAAUAAAGAUGUAUUUUUUCCCA
rnacentral:lncRNA from 1 species